rnacentral:rRNA from 1 species
AAGAAGGCCUUCGGGUUGUAAAGCACUUUUACCAGGAACGAAACGCGCCGGAUUAAUACUUUGGUGAACUGACGGUACCUGGGGAAUAAGCACCGGCUAACUUCGUGC